rnacentral:rRNA from 1 species
GAGCGAACGCUGGCGGCAGGCCUAACACAUGCAAGUCGAACGAACCUUUCGGGGUUAGUGGCGGACGGGUGAGUAACACGUGGGAACGUACCUUUAGGUUCGGAAUAACUCAGGGAAACUUGUGCUAAUACCGAAUGUGCCCUUCGGGGGAAAGAUUAAUCGCCUUUAGAGCGGCCCGCGUCUGAUUAGCUAGUUGGUUGAGGUAAUGGCUCACCAAGGCGACGAUCAGUAGCUGGUCUGAGAGGAUGAUCAGCCACAUUGGGACUGAGACACGGCCCAAACUCCUACGGGAGGCAGCAGUGGGGAAUCUUGCGCAAUGGGCGAAAGCCUGACGCAGCCAUGCCGCGUGAAUGAUGAAGGUCUUAGGAUUGUAAAAUUCUUUCACCGGGGACGAUAAUGACGGUACCCGGAGAAGAAGCCCCGGCUAACUUCGUG